rnacentral:rRNA from 1 species
CCUGCCCACUGAAAUAUUUUAAAUGGCCGCAGUAAUUUGACUGUGCAAAGGUAGCAUAAUCAUUAGUUUUUUAAUUAAAAGCUUGUAUGAAGGGUUGGACGAGAUAAAAUCUGUCUUUAUUUAAAUAAUAUUAGAAUUUAAUUUUUAAGUUAAAAAGCUUAAAUUUAUGUAAAAGACGAGAAGACCCUAUAGAUCUUUAUAUUAUUAUAAUUUAAUUUUAAUUAAGAAUAUUUAAUUUUUUAUUUUAUAUAAUAUUUUAUUGGGGUAAUAAAAAGAUUUAAUUAAUUCUUUUUGAUAUUUUACAUUGAUUAAUGAAUUUAUGAUCCAUAUAUUAUGAUUAUAAGAUUAAGUUACCUUAGGGAUAACAGCGUAAUUUUUUUAGAGAGUUCAUAUCGAUAAAAAAGUUUGCGACCUCGAUGUUGGAUUAAAAAUUGUUUUAGGCGCAGAAGUUUAAAAAUUUGGUCUGUUCGACCAUUAAAUUUUUACAUGAUCUGAGUUCAGACCGGUGUAAGCCAGGUCGGUUUCUAUCUUUAUAUAUUUUAUAAUAUUUUAGUACGAAAGGACCAAAUAUUUAAUAUAUUAAUAUUUAUAUUUUUGAAUAUUAUU